rnacentral:rRNA from 1 species
AGCGAACGCUGGCGGCAGGCUUAACACAUGCAAGUCGAGCGGGCACUUUCGGGUGUCAGCGGCGGACGGGUGAGUAACGCGUGGGAACGUGCCCUCUGGUUCGGAAUAACUCAGGGAAACUUGAGCUAAUACCGGAUACGCCCUUUUGGGGAAAGGCUUGCUGCCGGAGGAUCGGCCCGCGUCUGAUUAGCUGGUUGGUGAGGUAACGGCUCACCAAGGCGACGAUCAGUAGCUGGUCUGAGAGGAUGAUCAGCCACACUGGGACUGAGACACGGCCCAGACUCCUACGGGAGGCAGCAGUGGGGGAUAUUGGACAAUGGGCGCAAGCCUGAUCCAGCCAUGCCGCGUGAGUGAUGAAGGCCUUAGGGUUGUAAAGCUCUUUUAUCCGGGACGAUAAUGACGGUACCGGAGGAAUAAGCCCCGGCUAACUUCGUG